UACAGAGGGUGCAAGCGUUGUUCGGAAUUAUUGGGCGUAAAGCGCGUGUAGGCGGCUUUGCAAGUCGGGUGUGAAAGCCCUCGGCUCAACCGAGGAAGUGCGCCCGAAACUGCAGAGCUUGAGUACCGGAGAGGAUGGCGGAAUUCCCCAAGUAGAGGUGAAAUUCGUAGAUAUGGGGAGGAACACCGGUGGCGAAGGCGGCCUUCUGGACAGCAACUGACGCUGAGACGCGAAAGCGUGGGGAGCAAACAGG
rnacentral:rRNA from 1 species